rnacentral:sRNA from 1 species
UUUUUUGUUUCCUUUUUUAUGACUUUGCCGGAAUUAUCCAGGAAGGUGGUAUAACUGGCCUGCAAUGUGUAAGGGGGUGACGUCACAACCAGGUGCGAUUUUAAUUCCUGGAUCGUUUUCCAUGGAAAGUGAAUGUCCCGGCGCCUAAAAAGCAUAUGAAAGCUCAGCUAUGAGUUAGAUCACAUUCGUUGGUUCUUGGCCCCCAAAGUGCCCCGGUGCUACUCACUUGGCUGUUUCAAUGAUGGUCUCCGUACGGAUGGCUCCAUCCAGAUGGACAUGCAGCUCAAUCUACCAUUGAGAUUAUAGAAGAGGACUGAUCAGAACAACACUUUAAUUUUACAAGAUGAUCGGUUAAAUAAAUAUGGUAUAACGUUUUUAAGUAGCCAUGUGUUUCUGCGGAUCAUGAGCAUGCAAUAAAAAUAAAUCAAAAAAAAUCAUAUACCAACUCAUGUUGUAAGCACUAACCUUAUAGGGGAAAUGGUCUGUGGACAUUGUUGGGGUCGCUUGUUGGUUCCAAGUGGAAACUGCUCGUAAGAUUUAGACUUCGGCAAUGUGAUAAUAAACGUAUGUUUUAUAUAAAAGGGUUAUAUGAAUAACUAAACUUACAUGAUAAGGAAGGAAACUAAUAUUGUAUUAAUCACAGAGUGGUUGUUUAUCGGGCCAAAAUCGUGAACACUGUUCAUCUUUAGAGAGGAACUCAUUACUGUAUUUAGAUUCGUAGGACCUUUGUACAAGAGUAACGAAAUAUUGUCGAGACCUCACUGAUACUUACGCAGUUUAUCUAAUGGUAUUUCAGAAACCUAAAAUACCUGCAUGAUAAAUCAACGAAGAAAUAAUAUAUUGAUAAUAUACUUACUAUGCUCAUUAUAUUGUUGGCAAUACAUUUUCGAAUUAAAUAUAUGAACGUCCUGCCACAUAAAUGCGAAGUUACUUUGAUUAUUUUAAGUAUUUUGUUGAAAACUUUAAGGAAAAGGUGCAGUUUUUAAGAACAUUACAUACCUUCUUACCUAAGUCGGCUCUUGAAACAACACAUAAAAGGGGGAUAAUCCUAUAUGGAGGUGGCGUUGAAUUACACGGUAUCUUAACAAAGAUCCCACACAAACUUAGAACGGUACGCUAGGUCAACACUUAUAUCGUACUGGCAUUGAAGAUUUGAAUGAUUUAUCUAAUCAACGCGAUCCCUCCCCCUAAUCACAUGAAACGUUUUAACAGUGUAGUAUAAAAAACAAGUUUAUGAUAAUCUGUAAGUAUAUAUAAGUCGUCCAUGUGCUUACCUGUCUGGUCACCUUGUGGCCGAGCGACCUAUUUAAAACUGGGUCAAAUAUUUAAAGAUUAAUGGUCAGUAUGCUGCUGUUCGAUAUUGAUGGUUUGAUAGAUGUAAGAGAAAAUGUUAAUGUUCAGAAGUUGUUGUAAGUGUAGUGUAAGAAAAAAUGUUAAUGAAGUUGUUGUAAAUGUAGUGUAAGAGGAAAUGUUAAUGAAGUUGUUGUAAAUGUAGUGUAAAAAAUGUUAAUGAAGAGUUUGUAAGUGUAGUGUAAGAGAAAAUGUUAAUGAAGUUGUCGUAAAUGUAGUGUAAGAGGAAAUGUUAAUGAAGUUGUUGUAAAUGUAGUGUAAAAAAUGUUAAUGAAGAGUUUGUAAGUGUAGUGUAAGAGAAAAUGUGAAUGAAGUUGUUGUUUUUGUAGUGUAAGAAAAUGUUAAUAAAGUUGUUGUUAGUGUAGUGUAAAAAUGUUAUCAAUGUGUUUGUAGUAGUUGACACUGUAUUUGUUGUUAAUGAAGCAAAACAAAAUUG